rfam:Tncinocarpus reesii 1704 scaffold_1 genomic scaffold, whole genome shotgun sequence.
GACACUGUGGCCGAGUGGUUAAGGCGCGGGCCUGCUAUCAACCUAAUCCAAGCUUGGACGAACAGCAGCGAAAGCCCGUAUCUUCGGAUGCGUGGGUUCGAAUCCCAUCGGUGUCG